GGACGUGAGGGUGAGAUCGCUGGGACAUCUGUCUCCCCACUGAUCACUAGGGUUGCUCAGCUGAUCUGGCUGGCCAGGCAGGUAUCCCUUUCCUCCCUCACCCCUCUGUGUUCGUCCCCCCCAAAGCUGCACGCUCGGUCAAAGAGGACAACCAUCCCCAACAGAGGAGGACCAGUCUUUGGUCAAGGGUUUACGAGUAGCUGCGCUCCCCUGCUAGAACCUCCAAACAAGCGCUCAGUACCCAGAAUCUGAUCUUAUUUGAAGAGAGGGUCUUUACAGAGGUAAUCAAGUUUAAAUGAGGUCACGAGGAUGAGCCCUCAUCCAAUCUGACUAAUGUCCUU
rfam:Macaca mulatta chromosome 17, whole genome shotgun sequence.